GUGCUUGUUUUGGCAGCACAUACACUGGAACUGGAAUAAUACAGAGAAGAUUAACAUGGCCCCUGUGCAAGGGUGAUACGGAAAUUCAUAAAACAUUCCAUACUUUA